GGGGAUGAUCGGUUUCGACAGGGGAUGUUGAAACAGGGGAAGCGAGCCGAGGAACGCGGCAAUGAUCUCGUUAACCACGUGUCGCAAAAAAAUAAUCGCCAACUCUAAGCGCGAUUCCCAGCAGUUCGCUCUCGCUGCCUAAUAAGCACCGAUAGCGCUUGGGUGUCAGACCGGGGAGUUCCCGACCCGGACCCUGGCAUAAUCUAGGGAACUCAACCGUCCGCCCGGGCUGCGGGGGCGGAUGGGAAAUCAAACAGCAGCUGGGCCUGUUGGCGGCUUGUCCGCGUGACCGCCAGGGCCGAGAAAAGCACAGCGGACUGCGCUCGGAGAAGCCCUGAAUUAACUCCACUGGACCCGGGUUCGAUUCCCGGCAUCUCCACCA
rfam:Streptomyces aureofaciens strain ATCC 10762 contig_14, whole genome shotgun sequence.